UACCAGCACCCCGAGUGGUCGGGACGAUUAUUGGGCCUAAAGCAUCCGUAGCCGGUUCUGCAAGUCCCCCGUUAAAUCCAGCUGCUCAACAGAUGGGCCGCGGAGGAUACUACAGAGCUAGGAGGCAGGAGAGGCAAGCGGUACUCAGUGGGUAGGGGUAAAAUCCGUUGAUCCAUUGAAGACCACCAGUGGCGAAGGCGGCUUGCCAGAACGCGCUCGACGGUGAGGGAUGAAAGCUGGGGGAGCAAACGGG
rnacentral:rRNA from 1 species